rnacentral:sRNA from 2 species
GUGGAAGUUCAGUUGAUGCAGCCUUCCCUGUCCAGUGACAGCACUGACGCCGGUGAGGUGGUGCCAGGUCUAGAUGUGGACGAGGAUAGUGUUCUUGUUGCAGAAGUCGUGGAGGGGAAACUUGCUAGUUCCCUUGCUUCUGUUAUCGUACGGAAUGUUCGUGAUGAAUGGGCCGAUAUAACGGAUAUCGAUUCUGUUUCUGAUACGCAAUCCGCCAGGCCUAUUCUCUCAUUGGUCUAUAGUCCAAUUACCCUCGCUCCACGCCAGUCGCGCCCAGUAGCUUUUGAGAUCGAUUUCCACGGCCAAAUCCCCUCAAACUUCUCCUUCCAAC